CGCGUGUUGCUUUGGUAUCACGAGCCGGUUUAGCUUGCCUACAUCGCUUGGGGUCACCACUUUAUCAAACAUAUGCUCUCUCUCAAUAGACUUAUUAGUACCACCACCGAUAUUAACAAUACCAUUGUCGUUUCCCAGUGAUAGGUCCAUGAGCUCCAGCCUCUUGUCAAAAUUGAGAGAUGAUGAUGAUUCGUGGGUUUUGUAUUCUUGUUGAGACUCGGAUGGCCCAAGCCAUAGGUCAUGGUGUUGUGGUAGAAAAUUUCUGUACUUGGUAGAAGAAGACGAUGAGGAUGAGGGAGAAGAAAAAGGGAGCUUACUCGUUAUCAUCUCCUCUUCCUCUUCCUCUUCUUCUUCUUCUUC
rnacentral:misc_RNA from 1 species